GUGGAUUCCUGUUGGAUAUCUUCAUAUUUGUCAGACAACAGCUUAAUUUCUUCUUCCAGCAACUGAAUUUCAUCUUCAUAAACUUGAUAAACGCUGUUGUCCAUUUCUCACACUCCAAGGUACUGAAAUCGUCAGCGGCUUCCAGCAAAGAGCUGCUUAUAUCAGCGGCACCAUCAGCUCAUGUAGCGGGCGGCGGGGGACGGCAGCCGUAAGCGCUGCAGAGCGAAGCUGCAGGCGUUACCGCCGGGAGCUCAGCUGCCCCUCACAGUGAUCGGCGGUCCGCGCCUUCGAAGUGCGCGCCCAGCCUGCGUUCCGGGCGGUACCACUGCCGCCACCCGAGCGGGGGACACCGCUCAGCGCUGCUGCCCUGAGGAACCAG
rnacentral:lncRNA from 1 species